UACAGAGGUCCCAAGCGUUGUUCGGAAUUACUGGGCGUAAAGGGCGCGUAGGCGGCCUGCUAAGUCACACGUGAAAUCCCUCGGCUCAACCGGGGAACUGCGUGUGAUACUGGCGGGCUUGAAUUCGGGAGAGGGAUGUGGAAUUCCAGGUGUAGCGGUGAAAUGCGCAGAUAUCGGGAGGAACACCAAUGGCGAAGGCAGCUCGCUGGGACGGUACUGACGCUGAGACGCGAAAGCGUGGGGAGCAAACAGG
rnacentral:rRNA from 1 species